CCUCCUUCACUGCUCCGGAGUCUAAGCGCUUCCUCACACAGAGCUUCCCAUGAACCACUUCAAAGCCUGUUCUACGGAAAACGGGAAUAACACUAAUUUUAGCUCCAAUUGUUAUACUUCCAAAGAGGCCUUUACAAAGGGUUGAGUUGGACUGGUUUUAAAAAAAAUCUAUAACAGAAAAUAGACUGGUUCGAAAGUGAUUGGUCUUAGGAAGAGGAGAGCUCAGCUCAGCAUGGCCCGAUGGAGAAGGGAAGAGGAACUAGCGAUGAUUAUAUCUAUGCUUUCAUCGGAGGCUCCCAAAGCACCUGAAACCAACUCUCAUUACCGUUGCCUUAAAUAGAUGAAGCCGUCGAGAUAGUGAGUUAAGCGCGCUUCCCAAGGUCACACUCUUGCUUGCUAACAUAGCGAUAAAAAUCCAAUAUCCCUGAUAAGUGCCCGCUGCCCUCUCAUCCCCUCGCAUCGAUUGGGUGUGUGGUGCACAAAGCAGAUGGAUAGGGAGAUCUCGGAAGUACUUCUAGCCCCCACCCCAUCCCCGCCAUCUUGCUCAGCGCCCCUCCCCCAUUCAUCCCGGAUUGCUCUGGACAAGCUUUCCAUCAUCGGCUGGCUUCUGUUCCUGCAGAAUUCUUGCUACUUGAGAGGCCUUCCCUGGGCUUUCGACCCUGACCUCAGGUUCACUCCUGAGAGCUUCUCCUGACAGAAGAGCCUUGUGCUUCCCACUGCUGUGCCUCUUAUGCUCACCCAACUGCUGGAACCAAACACAUGAC
rnacentral:lncRNA from 1 species